AUAAUACGCGUCACCACUCUUGUAGGGUACACCGUCAUCCACAGGGAACGAUUCUCACAUGUUUUUCCAGACCAGAUGGGGGAGGAGGAGACAUAAAUUAUUCAAAGAUAAAAAGUCUAACGAGAAACUUAAUGCAUUAUGCAUGUCAAUACAGAUACAUGUUUUUCCUACCAUUUCAUGCUCAAUCUCUUUCUCGUAUUUCAGAUAAUU
rnacentral:lncRNA from 1 species